GGGAAUGUGGCUUAGUGGUAGAGCGCUUGCCUAGCAUGCAUGAAGCCCUGGGUUUGAUUCCCCAGCACCA
rnacentral:tRNA from 1 species